GAAGAUGCAAAACAAGCAGCAACAGACUGAUGGAGUGCUUGAAUGUAAUAUUUCAAGUUGGAGUUGAUUGUUCUGUUGAGUUUCCUAGAGAACGAAUGCCCAUUGUUGAUGUUGGCAGGCAGUUAGCCUCAAUCAAGGACAAACUUGUCGGAACUGGAUUUCCUAGCAAGAGACAAAUUAGUAUUCUAUAAGGAAAAGAGAUGUUAUUGAUAUGGUCAGAACCAAACGUUGCCAAAUAGAACAUGUAAAUCCCAUAUUAUGGGAUGGCACAGAUUCAAUGGAAAUUCCCGAAUGGGAGCCUUUUCUGUGCAGAGAGAUGAGCUUAUGAAGUUCUGUGUUAUUGUUAUGACUUGGAAAUGUAUUCUCUCUGAACAUCCCUAACCAAAUACAUUUUACCUUUAUUGAUGCAAUGUGAUUUAUUAUAAAUUAAACAAUAAUUUUAUAAGAGAGACAUAUAUCAAAAAUAGAUUUUAAAAAAAU
rnacentral:lncRNA from 1 species